AUUCGAUAAGACACAAGUCAAACAGACUCAUGAAGUCUUCUCCAUUUAACAUUUUUAGCAAUAUAGUACAAAAUAUAUGCAUGAGCAUGCAUGUAUAGAAUGGUAUAUCUAUAAAUCCAUUACAUAUGGAUUUAUGUUAAAAGUCAGAGAAGUGAAGAAAGAAAGGAAAAAGAAAUAAUAAUACAGAAAAAAAAUAAUAUAAAAAUAAAGAAAUAUUUUUGAGAGCAAAACACAAAAAAUAAAAUACAAAUUAAACACACGAAAAAAAAGGAAAAAAAGGAUAGACUUUUACUUAAAUGAUGAUGUGUGUGCGAUCAUGGUUUGGUAUCUAGACAAUUAGGAAUCUUUCCGAACUUUUAAUAUACUGGAAGACAUUUUUGAAAAUAGUUCAGUUUUGCUCUAGAUAAGGAAGACAACUAACCGAGGUUAGUAGUUCUAUGUUAAUUUUACAAUCAUUUGGAAGCCAGUGCAGACUAUCAAAUAAUUUAUUUCGUAUGUCUGAAUAUAAUAUACAUUUAAAAAAGAAAUGAUUGACAC
rnacentral:lncRNA from 1 species